AGAGAGAGAGAGAGAGAGAGAGAGAGAGAGAUCUGCUGUCUGUGUUUACAUUUCGUGGUCGGUAGUUGACAUUUCGCUCGCUGUAGAUUUGCGUGUUUUUCAUGUAUUUUCCGGUCUCUAACGCCGCCAAUACAGUGGCGGCAGGCAGUGUGUGUGUGUGUGUGUGUGUGUGUGUGUGUGUGUGUGUGUGCGACAAAGAGAGACGGACAGAGAGAAGGGGGGAUGAACAUAAGGGCAGGAGGAGUAUUUUGGUCAGCACUGGUUAGUCUUACCCCAUACACACACACACACACACACACACACUAGUGACCAGUGUUUCCAUAUUCCCUGGAGCUUCCUCCUGCAUUAAACACCACCAAGCAUCAUCAAAGAGACACGACUGCUUAAUGACAGUGAUGGAAGCAGAAUGUUUUCCUCGGCAUUGGUCAGUCUUAACACACACACACACACACACACAGACACUAGUGACCAGUGCUUCCAUAUUCCCUGCAGCUUCCUCCUGCAUCAAACACCACCAAGCAUCACUAGAGAGACACGGCUACUUAAUGUAAUGUGAGUACAGCAAUGACUGCCUCGGUUAACAUCACCGCCUACACCAUAACACUCAACCCUUCCUCCUCCCUCCAGUAGCGUCUUUCAGUUCUUCAUUAUUAUUCGUUAUUAGGGUACUUUUUGAGAUUAUCGAUUUAUAUUUUACUUAUGUUUAUAUCUGAGUCGCGAUAUAGCUUGAAAUUUAGUAAAAAAUAAUGAAGGAUCGUCAAAAUGACAUCUGCGGUAGACAUAGGUCGUCCCUACUCAGCCAUUAUUUGCUUUAUUUCUCACGUAUUGUAAGCCAAACAUGUCACAAAAUGUAGCCUCAGUUCGAAUUUUCAUGUCCGCCUGUGAGGUAUAUCGCCAUUGCCUGGCUUUAGUGUGAUAACAGAGUAAUUAAGGCAAAUUAGCGGCCGCCAUGUUUGAUCUCUACAGGCCCCAGCCUGCUCUUCGGUUCCAAUAUAUUUUCGUUUUCCUUAACUCUUUAAGUUCGGUUUCUAAGUAAUUUUUUAUGGUUUGUAUAAAUGUUUCGUUGCUUAUGAAGUGGUUUUGAGGCUUUUGUUAAGGAAAUGUGUUGUAUUUGCUGUUGUUUAUAACGUAACUAUAGGCCUGUUUUUGGGCUGAAUUUUACGGAACCCCAUUGUUGGCUUUUUUAUUCGAGGCUAUAAUGAAGUUCUUUAUACUUUAAAAAAUCGCUUAUGAUUUUUAAACUGGUUUGCCGUCCUGUUGAGUUAAAUAUGUGGACUUUAAAAUGAUUUGUGGUCCUGUUAAAAGUCGAAAUGUUGACAUUUUUUAUUUCCUUAUUUCCUUAUUUGAGCUUUUAAGUAACUCUAGGUUAUUUGAAAAAAUAGUUCAGAUUUUUUAAAGUGCUUUGCAUUGCUAUUAAGUUAAAAUGGGUGGACUUUUCAAUGUUUUUUAUUCGUGUUUAGGUUCCAACACUUUUUUUUACAGAUUUAUUUUUCAUUCGUUUACUUCUGGUUCUAGGUAAGUUUUAAUUGAUUGAAAAGAUAGUUCAUAUUUUUAAAGUGUUUUUAUUUCUGUUAAGUGAAAAAAUAGGUAGACUUUUCAAUGGUUUUAAUGGGGUCAAAUGUUCCAACGUUUUUUUCAUAAUUCAUAUUGAUAUUUCUUUCAUACUACUGAGGCUGGAGAUGUUAUAAUAUUAUGAAUAUUUAUUAAAGUAAUUAUCAAGUCAGAAUAUAUAAUGCAUUCCAACCUAGCUCCAUUUUUUCUAUGGGUCAAUUUUAAAAUGAAAUACGUUACGCACGUAUCCUGGCGUGACGUCACGACCUCAGGUGUGACGUCAUCAGGGGGCCAGGGGGGGGUUCUCUGCCACAGACCCUUAUCUUCAAUAUUUCGAGUAAUUUCUAGUAUUUUUGACGUUUUUCCGUGUGUUUCUUAACUUAGGCAUGUAGAUAGUAGUUGUAGGAGGAAGAAAAAAGGAUAAAUAGGGAAGGAGGACGAAAAACAAAGGAGAAAUGAAGGAGGCAAAACAGGGAAAUCCUAAGACAACAAUAUUUAGCUUAGUUUUCUAUGCUGCCCUUUCUUUCUUUGUAAUAUUUUCUUUGCCUGAGAGUGUCAGACUUUUUAAUGUGUUUGGAUGCGUUUUUUAGGUGAUUGAGUGUGUUUGGCGUGUUUUGGGUGCAUUUUGGUUUGUUCGGGUUUGUUUUGUAGGUGUUUGAAUAUGUUCGUGGGUGUAUUUUUUGUGUGUUUGGAGGUGUUUUGAGUGUGUUCUGGUGGUUUUAGGGUAUUUUGGAAUGUUUUAGAUGAUCUUGGCUGCCCUUUAAAGUGAUUUUGGGUGUUUUGAGUGUGUUUUGGGGUGAGCUAGGGAGGCAGGAAGAAAUGGUUAGGUCAGGUUGUGGGCUGGUUAGGGAUUAUUUGGGUGUGGUUUGAGGUUAACUGAGGUAUUUUGAGACUGGUUAGCAUUUUUUAUGUGUGUAUUGGGGUGUUUUGUGUGUGUUUGCAUGUGUUU